GGGGAGGGGGAGGAGAAGCCCUCUAGUUCCUCGUUCGGCCGAUAGAUGGCGUGAGCGAGGGUGACGUCACGGCCUCGGCAGUGGUCAGUGACACCGGCGCCAGUGUGAGAGUGACAGAGGUGGUGAGAACGUCCCUUACGAAGUGUGUGUCGGUUUUUUUAAGGGGGAUCUCCUUUUGGGAAACUGCCCUUUUUAAUUUAUUUAUUUAUUUACCGGAGGGGGGGGAAGAGGACCAUUACGAGGCAUGCUCUAGAAGCCGGAUUGCUCCACGAUCCCUAGGUCUACCGCCGGCACAGAUCAUCCCGAAGGUGGUUGAGUGACAAGCCGGCAUCAUGGUGAUCGUUACAAGGG